GGGGCAGAUCUGGAAUCGACCCUCGGUUGAAGCGGUAAAGGGCAUGCCGAGCUUGUAGAACAUCUCGUAAAUCUGUCUGCAAAACGAUAGUCGCCAACGACAAUCAAUUCGCUCUCGCCGCUUAAGGCGGAGCCACUGAGGCCAUAGGUUACUCACCCCUAGGUAUUUCUCAGUGUCAUAAAUGUGAGGGUAGGCACGACACCUUGCUGGUGGGGUUAGGCCGAAAUAGUUCACCGGAUCUCCAUGGUUCAGCCUGUCGAUUGGCGGAACUUUUGAGUACAAAGAAUCGACUACGCAUGUAGAACUGAACGAAUAGGCUGAGGACACAGGGGUUCGACCCCCCUCUGCUCCACCA
rnacentral:tmRNA from 1 species